rnacentral:tRNA from 2 species
GCAUUGGUGGUUCUGUGGUAGAAUUCUUGCCUUUAAUGCGGGAGACCUAGGUUUGAUUCCUGGCCAGUGCA